CGGGGCGUAGCGAAGCCUGGUAUCGCGCCUGCUUUGGGAGCAGGAGACCGUGGGUUCGAAUCCCGCCGCCCCGA
rnacentral:tRNA from 1 species